rnacentral:rRNA from 1 species
AGAGUUUGAUCCUGGCUCAGAUUGAACGCUGGCGGCAUGCUUUACACAUGCAAGUCGAACGGUAACAGGGAGCUUGCUCCGCUGACGAGUGGCGAACGGGUGAGUAAUGCAUCGGAACGUGCCUAUUUGUGGGGGAUAACGUAGCGAAAGUUACGCUAAUACCGCAUACGCCCUGAGGGGGAAAGCGGGGGAUUCGUAAGAACCUCGCGCAAUUAGAGCGGCCGAUGUCGGAUUAGCUAGUUGGUGGGGUAAAGGCUCACCAAGGCGACGAUCCGUAGCGGGUCUGAGAGGAUGAUCCGCCACACUGGGACUGAGACACGGCCCAGACUCCUACGGGAGGCAGCAGUGGGGAAUUUUGGACAAUGGGCGAAAGCCUGAUCCAGCCAUGCCGCGUGAGUGAAGAAGGCCUUCGGGUUGUAAAGCUCUUUCAGCCGGAAAGAAAUCGCGCAGGC